rnacentral:rRNA from 1 species
GAUGAACGCUGGCGGCGUGCUUAACACAUGUAAGUCGAACGAAGCACUUUAUUUGAUUUCCUUCGGGACUGAUUAUUUUGUGACUGAGUGGCGGACGGGUGAGUAACGCGUGGGUAACCUGCCUUGUACAGGGGGAUAACAGUUGGAAACGGCUGCUAAUACCGCAUAAGCGCACAGCAUCGCAUGAUGCAGUGUGAAAAACUCCGGUGGUAUAAGAUGGACCCGCGUUGGAUUAGCUAGUUGGUGAGGUAACGGCCCACCAAGGCGACGAUCCAUAGCCGACCGGAGAGGGUGACCGGCGACAUUGGGACUGAGACACGGCCCAAACUCCUACGGGAGGCAGCAGUGGGGAAUAUUGCACAAUGGGCGAAAGCCUGAUGCAGCGACGCCGCGUGAGCGAAGAAGUAUUUCGGUAUGUAAAGCUCUAUCAGCAGGGAAGAUAAUGACGGUACCUGACUAAGAAGCACCGGCUAAAUACGUG